rnacentral:lncRNA from 13 species
GAGGAUUCUAAAGGGGGUCCAGCGUCUUUCCAUCUUUUGACCCUGUCAGGUCUACACCAUUUACUCCAAGUGAAAAAGAGAUAAUGGAGGAAAACGCGACCUGCAGGAGGGUGACGUUGGGGUUGACUCACUCUUCCUUUCAAUCUCAGUAGCCAACUUUGACAUCCCAGUGGGUACAUACUUAAGGUAUCUACAAGGCAGGAGACCCCCUACAAAAUGUUCUUUGGAAAAUUUUGAUAUGUGA